CGGGAUGUAGCGCAGCUUGGUAGCGCACCUGGCUGGGGGCCAGGGGGUCGCAGGUUCAAAUCCUGUCAUCCCGA
rnacentral:tRNA from 1 species